GUCCACGCUGUAAACGAUGAAUACUAGGUGUGGGGGACUGACCCCUUCCGUGCCGCAGUUAACACAAUAAGUAUUCCACCUGGGGAGUACGACCGCAAGGUUGAAACUCAAAGGAAUUGACGGGGCCCGCACAAGCAGUGGAUUAUGUGGUUUAAUUCGACGCAACGCGAAGAACCUUACCGGGAUUUGACAUCCUACUAACGAAGUAGAGAUACAUUAGGUGCCCUUCGGGGAAAGUAGAGACAGGUGGUGCAUGGUUGUCGU
rnacentral:rRNA from 1 species